GUGGCAGCCGCCGCGGUAAUACGGAGGAUCCAAGCGUUAUCCGGAUUUAUUGGGUUUAAAGGGUGCGCAGGCGGGUUGAUAAGUCAGCGGCGAAAGUUUGCAGCUUAACUGUAAAAUUGCCGUUGAAACUGUCGAUCUUGAGUGCAAAUGAGGUAAGCGGAAUGUGUUGUGUAGCGGUGAAAUGCUUAAAUAUAACACAAAACACCGAUUGCCAAGGCAGCUUACUGGGAUGCAACUGACGCUCAUGCACCAAAGCGUGGGGGUCAAACAGGAAUAAAUACCCUGGGAGUCCACCCAGUAAACGAUGAAUACUAACUGGUUGCGAAAUACAGUAAGCGGUACAGCGAAAGCGUUAAGUAUUCCACCUGGGGAAUACGUUCGCAAGAAUGAAACUCAAAGGAAUUGACGGGGGCCCCCACAAGCCGAAGAACAUGUGGUUUAAUUCCAUGAAACCCGAGGAACCCUAACCGGGCUUGAAAUGCUAUCGACGGACUUGGAAACAGGUCUUCCAGCAAUGGGCGAUAGUGUAGGUGCUGCAUGGUUGUCGUCAGCUCGUGCCCGUGAGGUGUCGGCUUAAGUGCCCAUAACGAGCGCAACCCUUAUCAUUAGUUACUAACAGGUCACGCUGAGGACUCUAAUGAGACUGCCACCGUAAGGUGUGAGGAAGGUGGGGAUGACGUCAAAUCAGCACGGCCCUUACGUCCGGGGCGACACACGUGUUACAAUGGGGGGUACAGAGGGUCGCUACCACGCGAGUGGAUGCCAAUCUCGUAAAGCCUCUCUCAGUUCGGAUCGGAGUCUGCAACUCGACUCCGUGAAGCUGGAUUCGCUAGUAAUCGCGCAUCAGCCAUGGCGCGGUGAAUACGUUCCCAGGCCUUGUACACACCGCCCGUCAAGCCAUGGAAGCCGGGGGGACCUAAAGUACGUAACCGCAAGGAGC
rnacentral:rRNA from 1 species